GCUACUACAAAGAUAUCAAUAACCAUCCAAAAAUCACUUAAAAUUUAAUAUCCCUUAAUUUCCAAAGACACUUUGUGAUCUGACUGUUCUUGAAGGAAAGCCUAGAACUGAAACUACUAGAACUUGGCUCCUCUCUAGGAAUGUGGAGACAGGUAUUCUGCAAAGGAGAACUUGACAAGGAAUGCUACAAAAUACCAGUCACCUCUUUAGAAGCUCCUCCCACCUCUCCUGCUCCAUUUGAUGGAAUGGCAGGCUGGAUUCAGAGAGGCACGUGCCAAAGGAGCUGUUUAAAUCCCUCUAGACAUCCCUUUUCAAUGGAUAUCUCUUUUGAGUAUAAAGAGAGCUUUCAAUGUGUCUUGCUAUCAUUUUCCUGACCCUAAUCCCAGAUUAACUAGAAUCACCUUUAGCAUCUAAGUGAGUGGGUGCUAUGACCUUCCAUCAACGCAUGUGGCAUAGAUGCUAAAGCACCAGUCUUACAUGGUGGGAACCAUGUUAAAAAUCAAUGGAUAAAGUAGCAGAGCCUCUAAACUAAGAAGAAAGAGACAUAGCUUAAUUACAGAACACUGUAUUUUCAUAAUCACUAUUUCAUUGUGAGUAUGAAGUUCUCCUCUUUUCCUUAAAACUAAAUUCCAUCUUCCCUGAGAAUAGGGUUAAGAGAAAUAUUAAAACGCAAAAUGUCAAGGGCCUUUUAAAAGAUAACACAAUGGGAUGUCUAUAGCUAACUGCAACGUAAAUGUGUUUCUACUCUAAAAGCUUUUCCAUUACUCAGGUUUUAACCUCACCUCCCCUCUGGACUCUAGGAAUACAUGUAGAGAUGGGAAAAGUCAAUGGGGAAAAUGUGCGAAUGAUCGAUUUCUUCGAUUGUCGGAUUGAGGGUGGCACAAUGUCUUAGGCGGCGGCGGGUAAGUGACUCAAGCGAACCUGUUCGUUCCCUAGGCGCCCCUGUCUCCAAGAGGCGGCCCCGAAGGUGAUCCGCCCCCCAGAGCAGGAAACCAGCCCACCAGUCCCAGCAAACUCUCCUCCGAGCCUGGGAUGAGGAAAGGAGUCCUGCAGGUCUCUAACGAUGGGUCCUAGGGGUUCAGCAGCAAAGUUGACACAAAGCUGUCUCUGCCCUAUACCCGGUGCUGCCCAUGGUACUGCACUCGACCGGGCCUUGACCCGGAGUCGCCGAUACUACAGCUGCCAUGGCCGCCAAGUGGCAUCUCUUC
rnacentral:lncRNA from 1 species